rnacentral:misc_RNA from 1 species
CAGCUUCUGAGACUGGUAUCCCUUUCCUGCAAGGGAAGAUUCCAGGUAAAUCCCAGGUUGGGAAGGGUCAACUCAGUGAGUCUUCCCAACCCUCUUCUGCAUCAAUUCAUGGUGGCUCUUCUGGUAGUCGGCCUUCCUCUAACUAUAGUAGCAGGUCACAGCAAGUAAUUGGCCCUCAAAAAGUUGGUUCUACUAAGGAGUGGAAACCAAAGCCAGCAAACCCUAGUGUGCUUCAGGGUUCUGGAACUGGACCAACCGGUUCAUCAGAUGUGCCUAAUAUUCCAGUUGAACCCAGUAUCCAAUCACAGCCUCUAUCAAAUGUCCUUGAUUCAGAAGAAACUACCUCUAAACUGCAGAAGAAGCUAGAGGAGUUGCAUCUUCCACAGCGUCAACAUGUUAUUAUUCCAAACCAUAUUCAUGUCCCUGAAUCUGAAAGAACAAAAUUGAGUUUUGGAAGUUUUGAUGCGAGUUUUGGAGUAAUGGCAAGCUUUGUUAAUGGUCCAGAGAGUGAUAAAAGUUCUACACCUGUGUCCGAAACUUCUCAGGGUAUGGAAGAAGCUGUGGAGGAACAGGCUGUGAGCAAUCAAGAUGCAUUACCGACUGCUGAGGAGGGAGCUUAUCCUGAUCAUCCAGAGUCACCUUCACAUGCACCUGAAAAUUUAACUGGUGAUGGUGACGUCUCAUCCAGUGCAAUGCCCGAGUAUAAUGAGUCCAAGCCAGAAACUGCAUUGCUUUCUCGGGGCCAGCAAUACUCUGUGGUACACACUUCUCCAAGCUACAGUUUUGGUUUUGUUCCUCCAAUGCUGAGUAGUCAGAUUGCACCAUUUGAAAACUCUGAAUCUCAAGCACGUGAUGUUUCUCGUCUUCCUAGCUUUGUAGUUCAACAACCAUUUGAUCCUGCAAGUUAUUAUGCCCAAUUUUACCGUUCGAGCGCUGACAGUGAUGGUCGUGUUUCUCCCUUUCCAUCAGCUGCAGUUGCUGCUAAAUACAAUGGGAAUGUUGCA